UGGGGAAUAUUGCACAAUGGGCGCAAGCCUGAUGCAGCCAUGCCGCGUGUGUGAAGAAGGCCUUCGGUUUGUAAAGUACUUUCAGCGGGGAGGAAGGGAGUAAAGUUAAUACCUUUGCUCAUUGACGUUACCCGCAGAAGAAGCACCGGCUAACUCUGUGCCAGCAGCAGCGGUAAUACGGAGGGUGCAAGCGUUAAUCGGAAUUACUGGGCGUAAAGCGCACGCAGGCGGUUUGUUAAGUCAGAUGUGAAAUCCCCGGGCUCAACCUGGGAACUGCAUCUGAUACUGGCAAGCUUGAGUCUCGUAGAGGGGGGUAGAAUUCCAGGUGUAGCGGUGAAAUGCGUAGAGAUCUGGAGGAAUACCGGUGGCGAAGGCGGCCCCCUGGACAAAGACUGACGCUAAGGUGCGAAAGCGUGGGGAGCAAACAGG
rnacentral:rRNA from 1 species